GACGAACGCUGGCGGCGUGCCUAACACAUGCAAGUCGAGCGAGAGACUUCGGUCUCUAGCGGCGGACGGGUGAGUAACACGUGGGUAACCUGCCUCAUAGUGGGGGAUAGCCUUCCGAAAGGAAGAUUAAUACCGCAUAUACUCUCGAUACCACAUGGUGUUUAGAGGAAAGGAGCAAUCCGCUAUGAGAUGGACCCGCGGCGCAUUAGCUAGUUGGUGAGGUAACGGCUCACCAAGGCGACGAUGCGUAGCCGACCUGAGAGGGUGAUCGGCCACAUUGGAACUGAGACACGGUCCAGACUCCUACGGGAGGCAGCAGUGGGGAAUAUUGCACAAUGGGCGAAAGCCUGAUGCAGCAACGCCGCGUGAGUGAUGACGGCCUUCGGGUUGUAAAGCUCUGUCUUUUGGGACGAUAAUGACGGUACCAAAGGAGGAAGCCACGGCUAACUACGUGCCAGCCGCCGCGGUAA
rnacentral:rRNA from 1 species